GGAUCAUGACCUGAGCCAAAGGCAGAUGUUCAACCCAGGCAUCCUGGACCAAGGCAUUUCAAAUAAUACCCAUAAAUGACCUAAGAAAGAAGACCUAUUUAGCUGCAGUCAGAAAAGGAAUACGAGGCAAGCAAAGACCAAUAGUAACUAAGCCAAAACUUGGCAUCUGAGAACGUUUUAUUAAGGAGAACGUCGCGUUCUCGUCUACGAAGUCCUAGAUUCCAACAACUGGUUCCUCAGGAAAUGUGACAAAAGUUAUCAAGGCUGGAGAGGAAUGAUUCUGUUACAUUAAACUGGAAACCGUACAGAAUUAAAUACAGAACGCGUAUUUUUGUGUUUGGGGGUCUUUCUCCUGUUUGGAAAUUUGGCAAAUAAAUUGCUAAUGCUUUUUAUAGAUACUGCCCCAUAAUCGGAAUGCACUCCAACAAGACAGGUCAGUAGGAGACUUUAUGGCUUGUGGCAGCUGCAUAUGUUUAUAAGAGUCCUUCAAGUAUCACGGAGUGAUGUAGGCUAAAAUCAAACUAGCCAGCUGUCUCCUGUAUCCUAGUUGACAGCUAGGGGAUAUGUUGUUAGUGAAUUCCCGUAUGUCAAGAAUUCUCAAACUUGUCUAACAGUAGAUUUUCCCCGUUCAAACAAAGCAUUUUCUGUGGCUGCCACGUAAUCCCCAACAAAGGGGAUUGCCUACAGAAAGGAGAGAGUGUCAAGUUCCAGUUGUGUGUCCUGAGCCAGAAUGCACAGCCUAUGGCCUGCAACAUCACACCCCUGCGUAGAGCCACAGUGGAGUGUGUGAAGGACCAGUUUGGCUUCAUUAAUUAUGAAGUAGGAGAUAGCAAGAAGCUCUUUUUUCCAUGUGAAGGCAGUUCAAGAUGGCAUUGAGCUACAGGCUGGAGAUGAAGUGGAAUUCUCGGUGAUUCUCAAUCAGCGCACUGGCAAGUGCAGUGCUUGUAAUGUUUUUUGGUUUUUUUUUUGUUGUUGUUGUUGUUUUUUCAGAGGAAAGAAAGGUUUCAUACAACACAGUAUCAAAAAAAAGUAAAAGGAACACACUAAAUGCACAAACUGGUGGCAAAUAAGUCCAUAGCCUAUUGUGAUAGGUCCUUCCAGCAUCGAUCAGGUUUCUUCUCCAUCUGUUAUCUCAAGGUUAUUUCCAGAUGUGGCGACUUUUGAAUAAGAGUCUCUCACAGUAGGGUGGACAGGUUUCAAUCAUUAGUUUCUGGAUCUGUUUGUGCCCUGUAGGCAUCCACCUCGGCAUCCAGGUGUCCUUUUGUUUUCGACAUGUAUGCAUCCAACUGGUUGUCCAGCUGCUCCUUGGUCAGCACAGGGCGAGUGAGGGCACCUGUCCCUCGUCCACGGCCAGCGGACCAGGUUCAAGGCAUUUGUUGCCAUUGGAGAUUACAACGGACACGUGGGUCUGGGCGUCAAGGGCUCCAAGGAGGUAGCCACUGCCAUCCGUGGGGCCAUCAUCCUGGCCAAGCUUUCCAUCGUCCCCGUGCGACGAGGCUACUGGGGGAAGGAACAAGAUCGGCAAGCCCCACACUGUCCCAUGCAAGGUGACUGGUCGCUGUGGUUCUGUGCUGGUGCGUCUCAUCCCUGCCCCCAGAGGCACUGGCAUUGUCUCAGCCCCUGUGCCCAAGAAGCUACUGAUGAUGGCUGGUAUUGACGACUGCUAUACUUCGGCCAGGGGCUGCGCUGCCACCCUGGGUUGCUUUGCCAAGGCUACUUUUGAUGCGAUCUCCAAGACCUACAGCUAUCUCACCCCUGAUCUCUGGAAAGAGACUGUGUUCACCAAGUCCCCCUAUCAGGAAUUCACUGACCAUCUUGUAAAGACCCACACCAGAGUCUCCGUGCAGAGGACCCAGGCUCCAGCUGUGGCUACCACAUAGUUUUAUACAAGAAAAAUAAAAGUGAAUUAAAGCUUGUUAAAAAAAAAAAAAAAAA
rnacentral:lncRNA from 1 species